ensembl:lncRNA
GUAUCUUGCUGGAGAUCCCUGCCUACCUGAGGCAUUGCAAAUGUAAUGCUCAAACCCGGGGGGGGGAGGGGGUGGACCUGCUUUCCCCUGCAGCCAGUACCCCUCCAGCAGUGAUGGGGGAUUCUGCAGAUAGAAUGUCUUAGACGUCCUUUGAUGGUGGCAGUCACAGCACUUGUACUGUGGCUCUGUGAAGGAAAGAAGCUCCUCAUUCACUCUGAAGGAAUAAAAAAAUAAGAAAUCAAAACUUUCAGGAAAAGAAAUGCAGUAUUUUUGCUGAUUCACAACACACAGGGUGACAGGAAGUGCCAAGGGAUCUGUGCAGAAGCCAGUAAAGAAGCCACUGCCAAGUGAUGUUGGCUCAUCUCUGUUCAGAGCACAGGUGCCUCUGGAAAGAUGCACAGUGUCCUUCAUUCAACCCCCACAUUGAUAACAGAGAAAUCUGCCUGUUUUCCCUUUCACUGUAAAAUUCUACUUGCAGUGAAGAAAUCUUAAAAAUAAAUAAAUAAAAAAGUUUUAAGAAUUUAAUUAACAAAGAAAAAGCAAAGCUGAAUGGAACACCAUUUCUUUUCUUAAGCUCUUUGGUUUAUUUCGAGCUUUUUAAAAAACUUCCUUUCAGGAUGAGUUCUCACAAUGCUAUCUUCCUGUUGGCAGGAGGACGGAAUCUAUCUUUUCAAUAGGACAAUCUGUCCUUACUGAGAAGGAAGAUUAAAAGCAGAAUUGUAUAUGAGUGAAGAGGAAAAAAAUUAAGAUGAUAAAAUAACAGGUUUUCCUAUUUUCUCUCUCCCCCCCCCGAAACUGUUUACUUCAGCUUUAAAGAGUGCAAUGUUUUGACAACCAGGAACUAAUUUGCAAUUUUUCCCAUUAAUUCUAGUUUCAAAUGACUUCUUCCUGACCUACCCCUUUCAAUAAAAUUAAAAAUCCUAAGAUGACAAAUUUUACUGUGUACAGCCACUGAGGUCCUCUCAAAUUUUAUGAAACUGGGACAAAAUGACAAAAAAUGGAAUAAAAUAAAAAUGUCACUAUAUAGCAGGAUGCUCCAUUUCAGGGACUUCAAGUAAGGUUUUGUUGGUUUCUGCCCCAAGAUCUGACCUCCUAGUUGAUGUGAUGGGUUUGCUGCAGUCACAACCUGUAAAUGUUAAAGAUUUUUCAAAUAUUUUUUUUUUUCAUUAGGGAUAAGUAGAAACAGAAGGGAAAAAUUAGACUGUAGCAUAAAUAAUCCUUUAUUUUCUUUAGAUAGAACUUGAAUUUAUGGGUAUGUAG